CUCCCUAUCGCAAAAGGUUUAAGUGUAGCCAAUGUUAUUAAGAUCAAGUGUAGUACCUGUUAUUAUCGGUUAAAUAUCUGAUACAUGGGUCAUUGGCCUACAUGAUAUGAAAUUUAUUUUUUUAGGGGAAAGCUUACCACAGUAGCCGGCUACUGGGGCUUUUAUGUGUUGCACUAUAGGCUCAGACUAGGCACGCCCCAU